rnacentral:tRNA from 1 species
GGGCGAAUAGCCGUACCGUUUCCAUACCCGGGUCGACUUGACUAGGGGCGACGGCCCCCUGAUAAGGAUGAGGUCGCUGGUUCAAGUCCAGCUAGGCCCA